AUGGUUUUGCUGUGUUUUUUGUGUGUUUUAGGCAUGAUUUUGGUGUGUUACUUGUGUGGUUUUGGACAUGGUUUUGCUGUGUUUUUUGUGUGUUUUAGGCAUGGUUUUGCCGUGUUCUUGCCGUGGUUUUUGUGCAUUCCUGCCGUGUUUUUUGCAUGUUUCUGCCAUGUUUUUUGCAUGAUUUUGCCGUGUCCCUGCUGUGUUCCUGCCCUGUUUUUGCCAUGGUUUUUAACAUGUUUCUGCCAUGUUUUUGGUGUGUCUUUGCAUGUUUUUGUCCGUGUUUUUCCUGUGUUCCUGCCCUGUUCCUGCCCUGGUUUUGCCUUGUUUUUGCAUGUUUUUGUCCAUGUUUUUGCUGUGUUCCUGCCAUGUUCCUGCCGUGUUUUUCCCCUGUUUUUGGUGUGGUUUUGCCAUGUUCCUGCCCUGUUUUUGUCCAUGUUUUUGCCGUGUUCCUGCCGUGUUCCUGCCCUGUUUGUGUCCGUGUUUUUGCCGUGUCCCUGCUGUGUAUUUGCCAUGUCCCUGCCGUGUUUGUGCCGUGUCCCUGCCGUGUUCCUGCUCUGGUUUUGUCCAUGUUUGUGCCGUGUCCCUGCUGUGUUCCUGCCAUGUCCUUCCCUGUUUGUGUCCGUGUCUGUGCCGUGUCCCUGCCGUGUCUGUGCCGUGUCCCUGCCGUGUUCCCGUGCCGUGUCCCGGUGCCGGUGCCGUGCCCGGCCGUUCCCUCGGGCGGCUCCGCCGGCGGCUGCAAAGCAAAGCUGGGGGAGGGGCCGGGGGGUUCCGGGGGUCCCGCGACGGCGCCUGGGGAGAGAC
rnacentral:lncRNA from 1 species